ACUCGCCUGACGUGCGCGGAGCCAGCUCUUACCACUCCCCCCAGCGCCCUCCCCUCGGGAGCUGCGUGGGGCCCGGGGGCAAGGGGUGUGCGCUUUGCUUUCCUGCGGGAUCCUCAGGGGUUAGACCGGUGCUUGGCCCUGGGAACAAAGCCUCGCUAGCACCUUUUAUUUACUCAGUAAAAGUGGGAUGAAUGAAUGAGUGAACGAAUGAAGGAGUGGAUGGGUUCUCUCCUGGCUCCCGCACCUGCCGGUUCUCUAAGCCACUCCGAUCACAGUGCUCCCAUCGAUGAAACAGGGAUAAAAGUAGCCACCAUCGAGCUGCAAAGGCUUGGUGUAGUUCCAGGUUGGAGCAGGCCUUUGCCGAUAUUGUCAAUGCGCUUCCCUCCUCAUCGGCACCGAGGUGGUCAUGAGAGAAUGUCAGUCUGCUUCAUGUGUGACCUUCAGUCUUCAAGAGGAGAAUUGUCACCAGCCCCAUAAGACCUGAAGGGAACUCGUCACCGGGUCAGGGUCCCCACAGAAGACAUUCAACAUUGGAAAUAUGUUCAGCAGCAGUUUUAGAGAAGCUUCAGAAAUAGUCCCUGACAGUGGGGGAAAGACAAUACAGAACUCCAUCCUUUUAUAAAAACAUAGUUAUGAAUAUAAAUAUGCCCACAAAUAGAAACAUGACGAAUAGAAAUAUAUACAAAUGUUAACAAUGAUUAAUUAUAGACUGGGCGGCUCAAGGUGAUUUUUAGGUUCUUCUUUUCACUUUCCAAAUGUGUAAUUCCCAAAUAUUUUUACUUAUAUAAUCAGAAAAAAGAUUUUAUUAAACAUUUUUUUAAUGUUCAUUUUAUUAUUUUUGAGAGAGAGACACACACACACACAGCAUGAGUGGGGGAGGGGCAGAGAGAGAGGGAGACACAAUCUGAAGCAGACUCCAGGCCCUGAGCUGUCAGCACAGAGCCCGACGCAGGGCUCGAACCCACAAACUGUGAGAUCAUGACCUGAGCUGAAGUUGGACCCUUAACCGGCCGAGCCACCUAGGUGUCCCAUGGAAAGAGAUUUUAAAAAACAAACACGGUCCGUUCCAAGAUGUAAAGUGCUUAGAAAUUGUCACUCCACAUCUCACAAGAGAAAAGCUGAGCCAACUGGAAAUCUCUUCGAUCCAGCAGUGAAUCUCUUCUUUGAUCACAGCACAAACUGCAGCCAGAAACCCGGAGAGGCAGACCAAUAUAGAGAGAGAAUCGGUGUGCAGGGAGAAGGGGUCUUGGAAACCGUAGGAAAAGUUAAACUGCACUUGACUCCUGCUGUUCCAAGGUUGUAUCCUGUACAGUAAGCCAGCAAUGGAAACCAAAGACAAAAAGAAAACCUUGAAAGAAUCCAGAGGAAUGGAACAUCUUACCUUACAGAGGAGCAAGGAUAAGAAUUUCAUGUUAUUUUUCUUCAGAAACCGCAAGCAAGAAGAGUGACGUAAAGUAAAAAAACACCCCAGUAACCUGAAAUUCUAUAUCCAGAAAAAUCAUCCUUCAAACAAUAACGGAGAAAUAAAGACUUUCUCAGGCAAACAAAAAUGGAAGGUUUUGUUGCCAGUAUACCUGCCUUGCAAGGAAUGUUAAAAUAAGUUCUUCAGAAAGAAAAAAAUAAUAAUAUAGGUUGGACACUCUUCCUGUAUAAAAAUGGAAAGACUGCUAGAGAAGGAAUAAAUAAAAGUAAAAUAAAAUCUUUUAUUUUUCUUAUUCUAAAUUGAUCUAAUAGAUUAUUAUUUAAAAUAAUAACCAUAGCAUUGAAUUGGGUGAUUAGAGCUUAUGGAUAAAUGAAAUGUGUAAUAAUAAAGUUUACGAGGCAUGGGGAGGAGGAAUUGGAAACAUAUUGUGGGUCGGUACCUGCACUACUCAUGAAAUGGUGUAGUGUUCUCUUAAAGUGGAUUUAGAUUAGUUGUAAAUGUAUAUUGAAAACUCUAGGGCGAUCACUGAUGAUUACACUUCUUUUUAAUAGAUAUACUAAUGAAGGAAAGAAAAGGCAAUCAUAUAAGAGGCUCAGUUAAAACUAGAGAAGGCAGAAAAGAGUAAAAGAUUAAAGGGGCUCCUGGGUGGCUCAGUCAGUUAAGCAUCCAGCUCUUGGUUUCUGCCCAGGUCAUGAUCUCAUGGUUUCAUGGAUUUGAGACCUAUGUCGGGCUUUGCACUGGCAGCAAGGAGCCUGCUUGGGAUUCUCUCUCUCUCUCUCUCUCUCUCUCUCUCUCUCUCUCUGUGUGUCUCUGCCCCUCCUGCUCACGCUGUCUCUGUCUCUCUCAAAAAUAAGGAACUAAACUUAAAUUUUAAAAAAAGAAGAUUAAAAAAAGAAACAAAGAACAAGUAUAAAUGGAGUAGAAAGCAGCUACCAAUAUGGUAGACCUUAACCCAACUAUGUGAAUAAUAACCUUAAAUGUGAAUGGUCUAAAUAUGCCAAUUAAAAGACAGAGACCGAGUGUGUAAAAAAGUAAGACCCAACGACAUGUUAUCUGCAAGAACUCUACUUUAAAUAUAAGGCACAGAUAGAUUAAAUGCAAAGGGAUGGAGAAAUCUAUGGCAUGCCAACAUGAAUCAAAGGAAAGCUGGAGUAACUGUGUCAGUUUCAGAGUAGCAGAUUUCUGAACAAAGAAAAUUAUCAGGGAUAAACAGGACACUAUGUGAUGAUAAAGGGAUCAAUUCUCCAGGAAAGCAUAACAAUCCUUAAGGUGUGGGUGCCUAACAAAGUGUCAACAAAAUGUCAAAAUAUGUGAGGCAAAAUUUGAUAGAAUUGCAAUGAGAAAUAGACAAAUCCAUGAUUAGAGAGGCUUCAUGACCCCCUUAUCAGUGAUCGACAGGCCCAGUAGUCAGAGAAUCAGUAAGCAUAUAGUUGAGCUGACCAACAUCACCAAUCAACCGGCUCUGAUCGACAUUUGUAGAGUAUUUCAUCCAACAACAGCAAAAUGUAUGUUAUUCUUCAUCUCGCAUGGAACAUUUGCCAAAAUAGACUAUAUUCAGGACUGUAAAACACACCGUAACAAAUCUGAAAAAAAUAGAAAUCACACGAAGUGUGCUGUCAGUUCACAAUGGAAUUAAACUCAAAAUCACUAAUAGAAAGAUAGCUAGAUAACCUUCAGAUAUUUGGAGGUUAAACAACACAUUUCUAAAUAACAAAUGGGCCAAAGAAAAAGUCUUAGAAGAAAUGAGAAAACAUUUGGGCCAAAGAAGAAGGCUUAGAAGAAAUGAGAAAACGUUUGGACUAAAUGAAAGUGAAAAUACAACUUAUUGAAAUUUGUGGGAAGCAGUGCAAAGAAGAAAGAUAUCAAAUCAAUAAGCUUCCACCUUAGGAAACUAGCGAAAGAAGAUCAAUAUAAGCAAGUAGAGGAAAAGAAUGAAUAAAUAUGAGGACAGAAAUAAUCAAUGAGAUUGAAAACAGGAAAUGAAUAGAGACAAUCAACACAACUAAAGCUGGUUCUUUGAAGAGAUAAAUAAAACUGAUAAACUUCUAGCCAGGCUAACCAAACAACAACAACAACAACAACAACAACAACAACAAAGGAUAAGACACUAAUGACUACAAUUAGAAAUGAGAGAGGGACCAAUCACUACUAAUCCCAUGGAUAUUAAAAGGAUAAUAAAGCACUAUUCUGAAUAAUUUUCUAUGCCCAUAAAUCUGAUAACUUAGAUGACUUAGACCAAUUUUUUGGAACACAAUCUAUCAAAAGUCACACAAAGAGAAAUAGAUAAUUGAAAUCAUUCUAUAUCUGUUAAAGAAAUUGAAUCAAUAGUUGGUAAUCUUCCAAAAAGAAAGCCCCAGGCCCAGAUGGUUUCACUGUGCAUUCUACCAAAUAUUUAAGGAAGAAAUGAUGACAAUUUCUUGCAAACUCUUCCAGAUAAGUGAAGUAGAAGGAACACUUCCUAGCUCAUUCUGUGAGGCCAGCAUAACCCUAAUACCCAAACUAGAUAAAGACAAUACAAGAAAAUAAAACCACAGAUCAAUAGCUCACAUGAAUACAGAAGUAAGAAUUCUCAACAAAAUAUUAACAAAUCAGAUCCAACUAUGAUUAAAAGAAUUAUAGACCAUGUCCAAAUGAGAUUUAUUCCAGUUAUGUAAAGCUUGUACAAUCUUCAAAAAUCCACGUACUCUAAAAUGAAUAUACGCUAUCAUAUCAACAGGCUAAAGAAGAACAAUCACAUGAUUAUAUCAAUAGAUGCAGAAAAAGCAUUUAAUAAAAUCCAAAAUUCAUUCCUGACAAAAACUCUUAACACACUAGGAAUAAAAGGAAACUUCCUUAACUUGAUAAAGGACAUCUACCAACAAGCUUACAGCUAACAUUAUAAAAACUGUAUUCUCCCACCAUCGGGCACAAGGCAAGGAUGACUUCUCCCUCCCGCCUAUUCAACACUGUGCCAGAAGUCCUACAAAUAAGGAGGAGAAGGGUUACAGAUUGGGAAGGGAGAAAGAAAAUGGUGUCUGUUUGCAGAUGGCAUAAUUAUGUAGAAGAUCCCAAAGAACGCACCAAAAAAUCCCCAAACAAACAAACAAACAACCCUCCUGAGAGUCAUAAGUGAUUAUGACAAGGUUGCAGGAUACUAGGUUAAUAUACAAAAGUCAACUGCUUCCUAUACACAACAAUGAGCAAUUGGAAUUUCAAGUUAAAAGCACAGUACCAUUGGGGCGUGUGGGUGGCUCAGUCGGUUAAUCGUCCCUCAGGUCAUGAUCUUGUGGUUCAUGAGUUCAGGCUCUGUGCUGACAGCUCAGAGCCUGGAGCCUGCUGUGGAUUCUGUGUCUCCCUCUCUCUCUGCCCCUCCCCUGCUCGCGCUCUGUCUCUGCCUCUCAAAAAUAAAGAAACAUAAAAAAAAUUUGAAAAAACACGUAUUAAAAAAAAGCGCAGUACCAUUUACAUUGUCACCCCCAAAGUAAAAUAUUUUUCUAAGUGUAACAAAACAUGCAGAAGAUGUAUAUAAGGAAAACUACAAAAUUGUGAAGCCAGAAAGUAAAAAAAAUAUAUAAAUAAAUAAAGAGAUUUCUAUAUUCAUGGAUAGGAAGAAUCAAUAUUGUUAAAAUGUUAGUUCUUCCCAAUUGGAUUUGCAUUCAAUCAAAUCACAGCAGAUUGUUUUGUGGACAUCAAGAAAAUGAUUCUCAAGUUUAUGUGCAAAGGCAAAAGGCCCAGAUAGCCAACACAUGGCUGAAGAAGACAGUCAGAAGACUGAAGCUAGCUGGCUUCGAGACUUACCAUAAACUACAAUAAUCAAGACAGUGUGAUUUUGGUGAAAGAACAGACAACUAGAUCAAUGAAACAGAACAAAGAGUCCAGAGAAAGACCCACACAAAUACAGUCGCCUGAUCUUUGCCAAAGCUGCAGAGACAGUUCAAUGGAGAAAGAUAGUCUUUCCAACAGAUGGUACUAGAACAGCUGAAUACACACACACACACACACACACACACACACACGCACACACAGAAAGAAAAGAAAGGAAAAGAAAGAAAAAAAGAAGGAAAAGAAAAAAGAAGCUAAAAACAGACCUCGCACUUUUCACAAAAAUUAACUCAAAGUAGAUCAUAGGCCUACAUAUGUGAUGUGCAAAACUCUAAAACUUUUAUAAGAUAACAUAGGAGAAAAUUAGAUGACCCUAGGUUUGCCAAUGAAUUUUAAAUACAACACCAAAGAUACAAUCUACAAAAGAAAAAAUUGAUAAGUUGGACUUCAUUCAAAUUAAACACUUCUGGGGCGCGUGGGUGGCUCAGUCGGUUAAGCGUCCGACUUCGGCUCAGGUCAUGAUCUCACAGUUCCUGAGUUUGAGCCCCACAUCGGGCUCUGUGCUGACAGCUCAGAGCCUGGAGCCUGCUUCCGAUUCUGUGUUCCCUCUCUCUCUGUCACUCCCCUGCUCAUGCUCUGUAUCUCUCUCUCCCUCUCAAAAAUAAAUAAACAUUUAAAAAAAAUUAAAAACUUCUGCUCUGCAAAAGGCACUGUUAAGAUCAUGAAAAGACCAGGUACAGGCUGGGAGUAAAUAUUUGCAAAACUUAUCUAAUAAAGGAUUUGUAUCCAAAUGUACAAAGAACUCUUAAAACGUGAUAAGAGAACAACCAAAUUACAAAGGAGGCAAAGAUCUGAACCCACACCUCAUAAAAAAAGAUAGGUAGAUGACAAGGAAGCAUAUAAAGUUCUCAAAAUCAUUUGUUAGCAACGAAUGGCAAAUUACAACAACGAGGUACCACUGUAUACCUAUUAGAAUGGCUAAAAUCCCAAACACUGGCAACCCGAAAUGCUGGAGCAGUAGAAGGAGUCAUUCCUUGUAGGUGGAAGUACAACACAGUAGAAUCACUUUGGAAGACAGUUGGGCAGUUCUUACAAAGCUAAACAUACUCUUACGUCAUAUGACCCAGCAAACGUGAACUUACUACAAUGAGUUGAAAUCUUGUAGUCACGCAAAAAUCGACGAGCGCUUUAUUCUGGAAGCCACCAAGAUUUCCUUCCACAAGUUAACGUAUUAACAAAUGGUGGCCACAUCCGUACAAUGGGAUAGUAUUCAGUAAUAAAAAGAAAUAAGCUAUCAAGACAAAAAGUCAUGGCGGGAUCUAAAUUUACAAACCUGUCAGUCUGAAAAAGCUACAUGCUGUAUGAUUCCAAUGACCUGACAUUCUGGAAAAGGCAAGACUAUAGACACAGUAGAAAGAUCAGUGGUUUCCAGUGUUUUGGUAUGAAGAGGGUAGGGAAGAAAAAGUGGACCACAGGGGACUUGGGGGCGCUGUAACUAUCCUACGUGAUACUAUAGUGGUGGCUACAUGACAUUAUACAUUUGUCAAAACCCGUAGAAUUGGGUAACACAAAGAGUGAAUCCCAAUGUAAACUUUACACUUUAAUAAUAUUGUAUCACUAUUGGCUCAUCAAUUGUAACAUGUAUCACACCAAUACAAGAUGUUAACAAUAAGGGAAACUGUAUGGAGGAGAAGGGUUAUCUGGGAAAUCUCUGUACUAUAUGCUGGAUUUUUCUGUAAAGAAAGUCUACGACAUUCUUAAAAAUGCACCUUUGUUUAUUCACUCAGAAAUAUAUAUUGGGCACCCACCCGUGUUAACUAUUGUUGUGUGUUUUGGAGGUAGCACAGUGUAUUACACAGGCCAAGUUCUGCUCUCCGGUGGGGCUUAUAUAACUAGUGGGUGGAGGGGGGCUGGGGGUGCAGACACAGACCAUAAGCAAACAAGAUAAUUUCAGAGUGAUGUGAGGACAAAGCAACGGAUGGUAAGCCGGAGGGGGCCUGGGAGAGCUACGUGGGACAAGCUGGUCUGGGAGGGCCUCCCUCAGCUGAGAACAUCUGGGCUGAGACGUGAACAAUGGGAAGUCUGAGGCUAAGAGUUCCUAGAGGGCCAGGCUGGAAGAAGAGCUAAGCCCAAAAGCCCCCGGGGCAGGAACCAGCCAAAGAAGGAAAGGGAAGAGCAAGCCUAGUGUGGAAUCACGGAUGACCGUAUCGAGGGCUGGAGCAACGCGCUGGCUACUGGACUCGUGAAUUGACAUGGGAAAGGCUGAGAGAAAAAUGGUGUAAGGGUAGAGGAUGGAAAUCUAACAUUCUGCCUUGUAGUGUUAAGUUUGACAGGCCCCCUGAUGCUAAGGCAGGUAGAGUCCUAAAGUUGCUAGGUGGGACAGAGCAAGACAGGGACCAUGCUGGUGAGUGAUGGGGGAGCCGUGGAAACCCAUCGAGGGGAGAAAGGGGGCAUCCGUGAGGACAAUCUUUCGUGGAGGGUCAGAGCAUG